rnacentral:rRNA from 1 species
GACGAACGCUGGCGGCGUGCUUAACACAUGCAAGUCGAACGAUGAACCCGGAGCUUGCUCCGGUGGAUUAGUGGCGAACGGGUGAGUAACACGUGAGUAACCUGCCCUUGACUCUGGGAUAACUGCGGGAAACUGUAGUUAAUACCGGAUACGACCCUCGGCGGCAUCGCCAGGGGGUGGAAAGAAUUUCGGUCAAGGAUGGACUCGCGGCCUAUCAGCUAGUUGGUGAGGUAACGGCUCACCAAGGCGACGACGGGUAGCCGGCCUGAGAGGGUGAUCGGCCACACUGGGACUGAGAUACGGCCCAGACUCCUACGGGAGGCAGCAGUGGGGAAUAUUGCACAAUGGGCGCAAGCCUGAUGCAGCGACGCCGCGUGAGGGAUGACGGCCUUCGGGUUGUAAACCUCUUUCAGCACCGACGAAGCGCAAGUGACGGUAGGUGCAGAAGAAGGACCGGCCAACUACGUGCCAGCCGCCGCCGUAA